rnacentral:rRNA from 1 species
AGUGAACGCUGGCGGUAGGCCUAACACAUGCAAGUCGAACGGCAGCACAGUAAGAGCUUGCUCUUACGGGUGGCGAGUGGCGGACGGGUGAGGAAUACAUCGGAAUCUACUUUUUCGUGGGGGAUAACGUAGGGAAACUUACGCUAAUACCGCAUACGACCUACGGGCGAAAGCAGGGGAUCUUCGGACCUUGCGCGAUUGAAUGAGCCGAUGUCGGAUUAGCUAGUUGGCGGAGUAAAGGCCCACCAAGGCGACGAUCCGUAGCUGGUCUGAGAGGAUGAUCAGCCACACUGGAACUGAGACACGGUCCAGACUCCUACGGGAGGCAGCAGUGGGGAAUAUUGGACAAUGGGCGCAAGCCUGAUCCAGCCAUACCGCGUGGGUGAAGAAGGCCUUCGGGUUGUAAAGCCCUUUUGUUGGGAAAGAAAAGCAGCAGGUUAAUACCCCGCUGUUCUGACGGUACCCAAAGAAUAAGCACCGGCUAACUUCGUG